GACGAACGCUGGCGGCGUGCCUAAUACAUGCAAGUAGAACGCAGUUGCGAACGGGUGAGUAACGCGUAGGUAACUGCCUCAUAGCGGGGGAUCACUAUUGGAAACGAUAGCUAAUACCCCAUCCUUUGAGAUGGACCUGCGUUGUAUUAGCUAGUUGGUGAGGUAAAGGAUCACCAAGGCGACGAUACAUAGCCGACCUGAGAGGGUGAUCGGCCACACUGGGACUGAGAAACGACCCAAACUCCUACGGGAGGCAGCAGUAGGGAAGCUUCGGCAAUGGAAGGAAGUCUGACCGAGCAACGCCGCGAGAGUGAAGAAGGUUUUCGGAUCGUAAAGCGCUGUUGUUAGAGAAGCUGUAACUAACCAGAAAGGGACGGCUAACUACGUGCCAGCCGCCGCGGUAAUUC
rnacentral:rRNA from 1 species